rnacentral:snRNA from 1 species
CUUCUUGGCCUUUUGGCUAAGAUCAAGUGUA